AGGAGGUGGGAACAGAGGGUAUCUGAGACUCAUCUCACAGAGUCAUGGAGUUAAAAUGGAUUGAUUCAAGUGGCUAAAAAUUUGCCUGAAGACAUUUUUCUGUAUUUACUAUUAGGAACUAUUAAUUUCAACAGUUCGAGACAGGAGGCCAUGGAGAGUGUAGGAAUCAAAAAGAAUAAAUAUUUGAAAAAGCAACCAGUAAACAGACAGGGAUUUAGACUAAUGACCUAAGCAGAAAAUAAUGUCAUGGGUUCAGAGCUGCACAGACUAAUCCUCUGGUGAUAAAUCUUAACUGCAAGGCUUUAUAAACUUUUCCUGACUUGUGGGUGAACUUCAGGAUAGAAACAAGAGGAGCUAGUUGCCCUUGGAAAUCUGCCGGUGAUGUAGAGGGAAAAAGGAAGCUGGAACAGGAGGAAAGACUGGCUAAGUGUCUGAAGGCUGCUGCCAGCUGGUUUUUGAAUCAACAUAGGUCAUGUCAGAUGCAAAGAAGCAAAUCCAGCAUCGUUAGCCAGCUGCUGCUGCCCGCUCCAUGCAAGAGCUUCUGAAUAGCAACAUCCUGAAGAGCUGAACACAUCCAAGCCCAAAAGGACCAGAAUUUGCCCUGUUAGGGCCAGACCUUCGGAGUCUUUCUUAGAAGCGAACUUAAAUUGCUUCAGGAAACAUGAGGCUUCAGAAAUGGAAACACCAUGUGACAGUGGGGACGGGCUGGCCAAGGAGAGCUCAUCGUUUCCAGGGUCACUUUGCAGAAACCCCAUAUUUCUUAGUGUUGCCUCUUGGUGACUGCCAAUGAGCGGAUCUCAUCAUAGCUGAAAAUUCAGGAACAUGUGCAAAGAAGCCACCCAAAUGGACAAGAAAUUUGAAUAUUCUCUCUCCUGGCUUUUUGCUUUAGAAUGAGAAGACUGCAGACCAAAACAACUGUACACAACACCUAUUCUAGAGUGCAUUUUCAAUUCUGCAGUGCCAAAAACUCAGAAUGAAUGGAUUCCAGAAAUAAAAUAUUCCAUGCAACCUUAA